rnacentral:rRNA from 1 species
UACGUAGGGUUCAAGCGUUAUCCGGAAUCACUGGGCGUAAAGCGUGCGUAGGCGGAUGUUUAAGUGAAAUGCGAAAUCGUGUGGCUCAACCACACGACUGUAUCUCAUACUGGAUAUCUUGAGGACGGCAGAGGCAAGUGGAAUUACGGGUGUAGCAGUGAAAUGCGUAGAGAUCCGUAGGAACACCAAUGGCGAAGGCAGCUUGCUGGGCCGACCCUGACGCUAAGGCACGAAAGCGUGGGGAGCGAACAGG